rnacentral:rRNA from 1 species
AGAGUUUGAUCCUGGCUCAGAGUGAACGCUAGCGGCGUGGUUCAGACAUGCAAGUCGAACGCUUCCGCAAGGGAGAGUGGCGAACGGGUGAGUAACACGUGAACAAUUUACCUUCAAAUUGGGGAUAGCCUUCCGAAAGGGGGGGUAAUACCGAAUGUGGCGCUGUGUCGCAUGACAUGGGAGCUAAAGGCGGGGACCGCAAGGCCUGCCGUUUGAAGAUGAGUUCGCGGCCUAUCAGCUAGUUGGCGGGGUAACGGCCCACCAAGGCGAAGACGGGUAGCUGUUCUGAGAGGAUGAUCAGCCACACUGGAACUGAGAUACGAUCCAGACACCUACGGGUGGCAGCAGUUUCGAAUUAUUUGCAAUGGGGGCAACCCUGACAGUGCAACGCCGCGUGAGGGAUGAAGGUCUUCGGAUCGUAAACCUCUGUCACCGGACAUUAAUGUGCGUUUGUUAAUAGUAAACGUAUUGAAAAUCCGGAGAGGAAGCAGUGGCUAACUCCGUGCCAGCAGCCGCGGUAAUACGGAGACUGCAAGCGUUACUCGGAAUCACUGGGCGUAAAGGGUGCGUAGGUUGUUGGGUGUGACUGACGUGAAAUCCCAGGGCUUAACCCUGGAACUGCGUUGGUUCCUACCCAUCUAGAGUAUCAGAGAGGCAGGCGGAACUCCCGGAGUAGCGGUGAAAUGCGUAGAUAUCGGGAAGAACACCGAAAGCGAAGGCAGCCUGCUGGAUGAUAACUGACACUGAGGCACGAAAGCGCGGGUAGCAAAAGGGAUUAGAUACCCCUGUAGUCCGCGCCCUAAACGGUGCACACUAGGUUUUGGAGGAAUCGACCCCUUCAGAGCCCCAGUUAACACGAUAAGUGUGCCGCCUGAGGACUACGGUCGCAAGACUAAAACUCAAAGGAAUUGACGGGGGCCCGCACAAGCGGUGGAGUAUGUGGCUUAAUUCGAUCCACGCGAAGAACCUUACCAGGACUUGACAUACACUUGAACGGGGCUGAGAGGCCUUUUUCCUUCGGGACAAGUGUACAGGUGCUGCAUGGCUGUCGUCAGCUCGUGUCGUGAGAUGUUCGGUUAAGUCCGGCAACGAGCGCAACCCCUGCCCCUAGUUGCCAUCAUUAGUUGGGGACUCUAGGGGGACAAACUCUCUUUGAGAGUGGGAAGGUGGGGACGACGUCAAGUCAGUAUGGCCCUUACGUCCUGGGCUGCACACGUACUACAAUGCUUGGUACAGAGGGAAGCAAGACCGCGAGGUGGUGCCAAUCCUUAAAGCCAAGCUCAGUUCAGAUUGCAGUCUGCAACUCGACUGCAUGAAGAUGGAAUCGCUAGUAAUGGCACAUCAGCAACGGUGCCGUGAAUACGUUCCCGGGCCUUGUACACACCGCCCGUCACAUCAUGAAAGCCGGUUUUUCCCAAAGUGCGCAAGCUAACCGUAAGGAAGCAGCGCCCUAAGGAGAGGCUGGUGAUUGGGAUGAAGUCGUAACAAGGUA